rnacentral:rRNA from 1 species
AACGAACGCUGGCGGCAGGCUUAACACAUGUAAGUCGAACGCAUCCUUCGGGGUGAGUGGCAGACGGGUGAGUAACGCGUGGGAACGUGCCCUUCAGUUCGGGAUAACCCAGGGAAACUUGGGCUAAUACCGGAUACGUGCGAGAGCAGAAAGAUUUAUCGCUGAAGGAUCGGCCCGCGUCUGAUUAGCCAGUUGGUGGGGUAAUGGCCCACCAAGGCGACGAUCAGUAGCUGGUCUGAGAGGAUGAUCAGCCACAUUGGGACUGAGACACGGCCCAAACUCCUACGGGAGGCAGCAGUGGGGAAUAUUGGACAAUGGGCGCAAGCCUGAUCCAGCCAUGCCGCGUGAGUGAUGAAGGCCUUAGGGUUGUAAGGCUCUUUCGUCCGGGACGAUAAUGACGGUACCGGAAGAAGAAGCCCCGGCUAACUUCGUGCCAGCCGCCGCAGUAACAC